GACAGUGUGGCUCAGUUGAAAGAGCACGGGCUUUGGAGUCAGAGGUCAUGAGUUCGAAUCCCAGCUCUGCCA
rnacentral:tRNA from 1 species